rnacentral:rRNA from 1 species
GACGAACGCUGGCGGCGUGCUUAACACAUGCAAGUCGAACGGAAAGGCCCUGCUUUUGUUGGGUGCUCGAGUGGCGAACGGGUGAGUAACACGUGAGUAACCUGCCCUUGACUUUGGGAUAACUUCAGGAAACUGGGGCUAAUACCGGAUAGGAGCUCCUGCUGCAUGGGGGGGGAUGGAAAGUUUCGGCCGUUGGGGCUCGACUCGCGGCUUACCAGCUUCUUUGUGGAGUAGUGGCUUACCAAGCCUUUGACGGGUAGCCGGCCUGAGAGGGUGGCCGGCCACAUUGGUCCUGCGAUACGGCCCAGUCUCCUACGGGAGGCAGCAGUGGGGAAUAUUGCACAGUGGGCGGAAGCCUGAUGCAGCAGCGCCGCGUGCGGGAUGACGGCCUUCGGGUUGUGAACCGCUUUCGACUGUGACGAAGCGUGAGUGACGGUAAUUAGUAAAGAAGCCCCGGCUAACUACGUG